CCUACGGGAGGCAGCAGUGGGGGAUAUUGCACAAUGGGGGAAAGCCUGAUGCAGCGACGCCGCGUGGGCGAAGAAGUAUUUCGGAAUGUAAAGCCCUAUCAGCAGGGAAGAAGAAAUGACGGUACCUGAGUAAGAAGAACCGGCUAAAUACGAGCCAGCAGCCGCGGUAAUACGUAGGGUGCAGGCGUUAUCCGGCUUUACUGGGUGUAAAGGAUGCGCAGGCGGCACGGCAAGCCUGAUGUGAAAGCCCGCGGCCCAACCGCGGGACUGCAUUGGGAACUAUCGGGCUGGAGUGUCGGAGAGGUAGGCGGAAUUCCUAGUGUAGCGGUGAAAUGCGUAGAUAUCAGGAGGAACACCAGUGGCGAAGGCGGCCUACUGGACGGUGACUGACGCUGAGGCGCGAAAGCGUGGGGAGCAAACAGGAUUAGAUACCCGUGUAGUC
rnacentral:rRNA from 1 species